GUAGUUUGUGUCGGGCGAAAAUGAAUUUAGAUGCAGUGGGAAAUGAAAGCCUGAAAACUGGUUUGUUGAGUACGUUUGAGAAGCAAUGCGCUAAUGAGGAUGUUUUAAGGAAUGCUUAUAAGCUGGUUUUGGAUUCAGAUUUUGAGGAGGAUAAUGGGAAAUUUGUGCAUGAAGUGAAUGCUUUAUUGGGGACCGUGUGGAGUAUUGUUUCCUGGGAGGGGAUAACAGCGUUUGUUGCACUUGAAGGUGGAGAAUUGAUGAGUGAAAAAGGUGUUGAAGAAAUUGGAGUGAAUGGGAGGGAUGAGAAUUUGGUAAAGAAGAACGGUGAGA
rnacentral:misc_RNA from 1 species